rnacentral:rRNA from 1 species
GACGAACGCUGGCGGCGUGCUUAACACAUGCAAGUCGAACGCUGAAGCUCAGCUUUUGUUGGGUGGAUGAGUGGCGAACGGGUGAGUAACACGUGAGUAACCUGCCUCCUUCUUUGGGAUAAUGCCCGGAAACGGGUGCUAAUACUGGAUAUUCACUGGUCUUCGCAUGGGGGUUGGUGGAAAGGGUUUUUCUGGUGGGGGAUGGGCUCGCGGCCUAUCAGCUUGUUGGUGGGGUGAUGGCCUACCAAGGCUUUGACGGGUAGCCGGCCUGAGAGGGUGACCGGUCACAUUGGGACUGAGAUACGGCCCAGACUCCUACGGGAGGCAGCAGUGGGGAAUAUUGCACAAUGGGCGCAAGCCUGAUGCAGCGACGCCGCGUGAGGGAUGGAGGCCUUCGGGUUGUGAACCUCUUUCGCUCAUGGUCAAGCCGCAACAAUGGUUGUGGUGAGGGUAGUGGGUAAAGAAGCGCCGGCUAACUACGUG